CUUUGUUUGUCAUCGCAUCAUGUUUGUACACUCUAAACAUACAACGUUAUAACGUCACUCCGACAGUGCAACUGUGUUGGAAGUGUCUUUUGGGUCAGUGUGAUACAGCUGAUGCAGCACUGCUCUAGUAUGUAAUAUGAAGACUUGAUUGAGACACACUGAAUAAAGUCACAUACACAAGAGGUGGCAAUGAAACAUGUAAAUCUUAUUGAUGAGUAUUGCAAGACAUUGCAGCUGUGUUGGAAGUGUCUUUUGGGUCAGUGUGAUACAGCUGAUGCUGCACUGCUCUAGUAUGUAAUGUGAAGACUUGAUUGAGACACACUGAAUAGUGAGAAACUUACAACUAUUAUGCAGUUAACUAGGUGUGUUCUUGUUGAUGAAAUUAUGUUUUCGGCGUUAAAUUAAAUUAUUCUAGUAAUUGUUUUA